UACGAAGGGGGCGAGCGUUGUUCGGAUUUACUGGGCGUAAAGGGCGCGCAGGCGGCCGGCCAAGUCAGGCGUGAAAGCCCCCGGGCUUAACCUGGGAAUUGCGUCUGGGACUGGUUGGCUAGAGAUCGGGAGAGGAGAGUGGAAUUCCCAGUGUAGAGGUGAAAUUCGUAGAUAUUGGGAAGAACACCAGUGGCGAAGGCGGCUCACUGGUCCGGUACUGACGCUGAGGCGCGACAGCGUGGGGAGCGAACCGG
rnacentral:rRNA from 1 species